UGGGGAAUUUUGGACAAUGGGCGAAAGCCUGAUCCAGCAAUGCCGCGUGUGUGAAGAAGGCCUUCGGGUUGUAAAGCACUUUUGUCCGGAAAGAAAUCCUUGGCUCUAAUACAGUCGGGGGAUGACGGUACCGGAAGAAUAAGCACCGGCUAACUACGUGCCAGCAGCCGCGGUAAUACGUAGGGUGCAAGCGUUAAUCGGAAUUACUGGGCGUAAAGCGUGCGCAGGCGGUUUGCUAAGACCGAUGUGAAAUCCCCGGGCUCAACCUGGGAACUGCAUUGGUGACUGGCAGGCUAGAGUAUGGCAGAGGGGGGUAGAAUUCCACGUGUAGCAGUGAAAUGCGUAGAGAUGUGGAGGAAUACCGAUGGCGAAGGCAGCCCCCUGGGCCAAUACUGACGCUCAUGCACGAAAGCGUGGGGAGCAAAACAGGAUUAGAUACCCUGGUAGUCCACGCCCCUAAAACGAUGUCAACUAGUUGUUGGGGAUUCAUUUCCUUAGUAACGUAGCUAACGCGUGAAGUUGACCGCCUGGGGAGUACGGUCGCAAGAUUAAAACUCAAAUGAAUUGACGGGGUCAUAGCUGUUUCCU
rnacentral:rRNA from 1 species